UUUCUCUCACUCUCUCUCUCUGUUCCUACAUUAACGUACCAGUCCUGUAACGGUGAACAGUAGCAUCCUACCUAACACAGGAACCAUGGGCGACUGCAGCAGUGACAGUGGUUCAUCUCGGCUUGUCCUUUUUGCUGUUCUGGCAAUCUGUAUGGUUUUUGUUCAGACAGAAACAGUGGCAGAUUCCUCUCGUACCCUGCAGAAUGAUAAUCAGGACACGCGUAUCCGGUGCGGGAGACAUCGAAUUAACAACAUAUCAACCUAUUCAUGACCUCACAGACAGCAAAUUAAUUUCUGACAAUGAAGAUGGCACACCCUCACUGGAUGAGGAAAAAGGUGUGUUGGGGCCAGGUGCCAUCACGGCUAUUGUCAUCGCUGUGUUUCUCGGAGUCUCUGUUCUUCUUGCUCUCAUUGUUAUCACACUCAGAAAGUUCACAGCCUCUUAGGAAGAUGUUAUGUGUCUCAGUUCCCAUCUAUUUCUCUUUAUUUUCCCUUCCACUAUCUCUGAUAAUUGCAGCAUGUGUAUCAUUGAUGAUCAUCAUAAUUGAUGGCAGGUCCCACAUGAAAUUUGUGAUUUCUCCUAUAACACUCAAGACAUGGAUAGGGAAACCCAGACCGAGGCUGAUAAAAAAAAUGACAACUGCAUUCAAGAAAUGAUGGACUCAUUCGUUUUGUGAUCAUGUCAUAAUGUUAGUAUCCUCUAGAAACAAAGACUUGAAGAGAAUAUAUGUUAUUAUUUCAUACCUGAUAUUUUCAUUUAUAUAAUCAUGCAUACUAGUUUUUUUGGCCUGUUUCAUAUUACUUUCUAAUCUACACAAAUUUCUCAUUUCAAUACAAUUAUCAUGCCCUAGAAAUUAAGAGAAAGAGAGUGUGUGUGUGUAUGCAUGUGUGUGUGUGUGUGUGUGUUUGAGAAAAAGCCAAGCAGACUUGUGUAUGUGAGUGUUUUAAUUGAACUUUUAUAUAUAAAUUGAUGUAAAUGUGUGUGUCCGCUUGUGUUAGCUCACUGAGCAGAUAAAAAGACAUAUGUUGAAGCCUUUUAUGUAAAAAGAUUUGUUUCUUAUAUACUUCAUCUUAAGUAUUGUAAUCUAAUGAAAUACUACUUGGGUUCGUUUGCCAAUUAUGUCUAUUUUCACCCAAUUCAUGGGCAAAAACAGAAAUAAACAAAAACAUGUUCCCAAUCAAAUAUACAUAAAAACAUCCCAUAAUUCAAAAGGUUUUUAUAGUAUCAACUUUGUUUUGGAGUAUACACUAGAUAUUUAGCUUUUUAUCCUACAAGAAAUUGUAAUGUUUUCCAGUGUUUUUAUCAUUAAUCUUGUAAACCUGACUUAUGAAAGAAUUGUCAGAAAAUCACAUUUUUAGUACCAUGAGACAAACUAUAGAAAAAAAAAUCUUAAAAUGUAACACAUAGGCUUUAAAAGCUUUAAAGGUCAUUAUCCUCCUGAGGCCCAACAAUUCAUUUUUGUGUAGAACAUUUGCUAUUUAAGUUGUUCUUAGACCAAACAUGCUACCGUGUUAAAUCUAGGGGUAUUAUCAGAGGACUCACUGGGCUUUUCUGAGAUACCAAAUGUUUGUGAGUUUGGCCAUGA